rnacentral:rRNA from 1 species
UACGUAGGGGGCAAGCGUUGUCCGGAUUUAUUGGGCGUAAAGAGCGUGUAGGCGGCCGUGUAGGUCCGUUGUGAAAACUCGAGGCUCAACCUCGAGACGUCGAUGGACACCACACGGCUAGAGUCCGGAAGAGGAGAGUGGAAUUCCUGGUGUAGCGGUGAAAUGCGCAGAUAUCAGGAAGAACACCUAUGGCGAAGGCAGCUCUCUGGGACGGUACUGACGCUGAGACGCGAAAGCGUGGGGAGCGAACAGG